UACGUAGGGGGCAAGCGUUGUCCGGAUUUAUUGGGCGUAAAGAGCGUGUAGGCGGCCAGACAGGUCCGUUGUGAAAACUCGAGGCUCAACCUCGAGAUGUCGAUGGAAACCGUCUGGCUAGAGUCCGGAAGAGGAGUGUGGAAUUCCUGGUGUAGCGGUGAAAUGCGUAGAUAUCAUCUGGAACGCCAAUGGUGAAAACAGCUCGCUGGGGGUGUGCAGACGCUGAGACACGAAAGCCAGGGGAGCGAACGGG
rnacentral:rRNA from 1 species